ACUUACGGAUGAGCAAAGUAAGUGGUUUCUUGAGACAGAAUCUACUCCUGGUGAAGAUGCUGUGAGGA
rnacentral:pre_miRNA from 1 species